UGAGGGAGAAGACGGGGUAAAAGUGAGUAAUUUUUUUUCCUGAUACAUCACCUGGCCUUUUUUUUUUUUUUUUUCUUCUAAACUAUAAAUUAUCUAAUGCUAAUACACUCCUAUUAAGAAGACAGCAACACUAAAAAAAUAUUUACAAAAAGCCUCUCACAAUCUUCAAUGUGUAUCCUUCGCAUCCUUUCACUUCCUUAGAAUAACACUAUUCUAUCUUUGGAUUCAUUGUAUAAAGGAAAAAAAUAAUAACAGUAAAAAAAAAAUAUAUAUAUAUAUAUAUCUCAGACUUUUGAAAAAAGGUUCUUUUUUUUUUACUUAUAAAAUCUGAACAUGCAAAAAAGUCUGUUGAUAUCAAAGGUUUAUUAAGAAUUGAUAUAUGAUAAUACACAUCUAAAGGUUAGUCAUAUUUGUUAGUUCAUAUCGAAUGCAACUAUGAAAUGCAUUUCUUGCCCACUGUUCAUGUGUGUCUCCAUGUAUCUUUAGUAUAUACUUCCCUAUUCAAAUCUCCUAUGGGGAAAAAAAAAAUGCAAUGAAUCAUAUAUACAAAAAACCUAAAUACUAGAUACUUUAAAGAACAUCAAUAUACUGUGUUACUGUAGCAGCAUAUAUAUAUAUAUUAGUUAUCAUACUCAUAUACUGAAAGAGGGAACAAAAGUGAGGAAAAUUGAUAGUGAAACCAUUCGAGCAUUUCUUUUCUUCCAGAGAGAAAGAGAGAGUACAAAAUCAUAACCACUCAAACGUACAAUACAGAGGUUGAAAAAAAAAUAUAAAUACAAAAUAAAUAAAUAAAUAAAACAAAUGGUUUCACUAAUGACAUUGCCUAUGGGUCUACUAAUACAAAGAGUAAUCAGCAAAAACAUGGGAAUGAGGGUUUAUUUAACUGGCAAAAUUACACAGUUUUCUUGACUGUACACUUUACUCUUGUGUCAGAAGCCCCAUAAGCCAAAUGUGUGAGGAAAAAUAAACAAAAAUGAAAAAUAUGAGAAUAAUCAGGAAAAUAAAUCUGAAUGGUGAGGAAUUCCAUGUCAAAGAUUCAAAGAGCCAAUUUGUGCUUCAACACUUUUUUACAUGACCCAUACAUGAUUGCGUAGUAUUAAAAGAUAACGCUGUUGAAAUAAUAUUCCAGUGGCUAUUCCUAGCUUAGGUUUCUCCAACACUGAAGCUCCAUUAAAAAAGUUUACAAUAAUCAAAAAACUUAUUAGACCGUUAGUGUGACUUCAUGUAGUUGACUAUAAUACUAAUUAUCUCAACUAUGGAAAAUCUGUACACUGAAAGAGACAUUUAACUGUACUUUUUUUCUGCUUAAUAUGAUUGCAGUUUGUAGUUUGUAACGCCUCUGAACAUUCUUCUGAUGUAGUAUUCAUUAUUAUCAUUCUCAAAUUUUACAAUGAAUAAUCUAUUAUCAUUCAAUUUUCAUCCCCUAACAAUGAAUUCACCAGUUUACUGAAACAAACAGACAAAUUACACAAUCUAAACAAUGUUAUACAGCCACUGACUAGUAAUACAAACAAAGCAUAUCAAGUGGGAUUAUAUCAAAGUGAAAGCUUAUGCAUUUUGAACUGACUUAUGAACAACCUGUCCUAGCCACUUCACGGCUUUGCACUCAAAAAGGUAAAAUAACGUGCCAUUCUUCUGAAGUUUUGAUUUUCCUCAACUCUGGUUUACAUCACAAAUUGCUCUUAUUGUUGUACCAGAUAAAACAAACCUAAACUUGGUGUUUGAAAUGAAAAAGUACCACUUGCAGAUCUUAAGCUACAAGAAUACUGGAAUGAAAGAGGUAAAUUUUGCAAAUCAUCAUAAAAGCUCCAUAAUCUGAAAGAUAAAUAUGUCGCGCAAUAUUUUAGCUUUAUAAAAGGAUUAAAAAUCUUAGUAACACAAUGAACCGAUAAGCACUGCCAAUAUA
rnacentral:lncRNA from 1 species